rnacentral:rRNA from 1 species
AACGAACGCUGGCGGCAGGCUUAACACAUGCAAGUCGAACGCCCCGCAAGGGGAGUGGCAGACGGGUGAGUAACACGUGGGAACGUGCCCUAAGGUUUGGAAUAUUCCCGGGAAACUGGGAGCAAUACCAAAUGUGUCCGUAAGGAGAAAGAUUUAUCGCCUUAGGAUCGGCCCGCGUCAGAUUAGGUAGUUGGUGGGGUAAUGGCCUACCAAGCCGACGAUCUGUAGCUGGUCUGAGAGGACGACCAGCCACACUGGGACUGAGACACGGCCCAGACUCCUACGGGAGGCAGCAGUGGGGAAUCUUGGACAAUGGGCGCAAGCCUGAUCCAGCCAUGCCGCGUGGAUGAUGAAGGCCCUAGGGUUGUAAAAUCCUUUCGUUGGGGACGAUAAUGACGGUACCCAAAGAAGAAGCUCCGGCUAACUUCGUGCCAGCCGCCGCGGUAA